rnacentral:tRNA from 1 species
GGGCGGUUGGCUCAGUGGUAGAGCAUUACCUUCACACGGUAGGGGUCACUGGUUCGAAUCCAGUACCGCCCACCA